GAAGAAGUCUGCAUCCUUCAAGAAAAACAUGAUUUUCAUGCAGGACAAUGCUCCAUCACACGCGUCCAAGUACUCCACAGCGUGGCUGGCAAGAAAGGGUAUAAAAGAAGAAAAUCUAAUGACAUGGCCUCCUUGUUCACCUGAUCUGAACCCCAUUGAGAACCUGUGGUCCAUCAUCAAAUGUGAGAUUUACAAGGAGGGAAAACAGUACACCUCUCUGAACAGUGUCUGGGAGGCUGUGGUUGCUGCUGCACGCAAUGUUGAUGGUGAACAGAUCAAAACACUGACAGAAUCCAUGGAUGGCAGGCUUUUGAGUGUCCUUGCAAAGAAAGGUGGCUAUAUUGGUCACUGAUUUGUUUUUGUUUUGUUUUUGAAUGUCAGAAAUGUAUAUUUGUGAAUGUUGAGAUGUUAUAUUGGUUUCACUGGUAAUAAUAAAUAAUUGAAAUGGGUAUAUAUUUGUUUUUUGUUAAGUUGCCUAAUAAUUAUGCACAGUAAUAGUCACCUGCACACACAGAUAUCCCCCUAACAUAGCUAUAACUAAAAACAAACUAAAAA